GAUGAACGCUGGCGGCGUGCCUAAUACAUGCAAGUCGAGCGAACGGACGAGAAGCUUGCUUCUCUGAUGUUAGCGGCGGACGGGUGAGUAACACGUGGAUAACCUACCUAUAAGACUGGGAUAACUUCGGGAAACCGGAGCUAAUACCGGAUAAUAUUUUGAACCGCAUGGUUCAAAAGUGAAAGACGGUCUUGCUGUCACUUAUAGAUGGAUCCGCGCUGCAUUAGCUAGUUGGUAAGGUAACGGCUUACCAAGGCAACGAUGCAUAGCCGACCUGAGAGGGUGAUCGGCCACACUGGAACUGAGACACGGUCCAGACUCCUACGGGAGGCAGCAGUAGGGAAUCUUCCGCAAUGGGCGAAAGCCUGACGGAGCAACGCCGCGUGAGUGAUGAAGGUCUUCGGAUCGUAAAACUCUGUUAUUAGGGAAGAACAUAUGUGUAAGUAACUGUGCACAUCUUGACGGUACCUAAUCAGAAAGCCACGGCUAACUACGUGCCAGCAGCCGCGGUAAUACGUAGGUGGCAAGCGUUAUCCGGAAUUAUUGGGCGUAAAGCGCGCGUAGGCGGUUUUUUAAGUCUGAUGUGAAAGCCCACGGCUCAACCGUGGAGGGUCAUUGGAAACUGGAAAACUUGAGUGCAGAAGAGGAAAGUGGAAUUCCAUGUGUAGCGGUGAAAUGCGCAGAGAUAUGGAGGAACACCAGUGGCGAAGGCGACUUUCUGGUCUGUAACUGACGCUGAUGUGCGAAAGCGUGGGGAUCAAACAGGAUUAGAUACCCUGGUAGUCCACGCCGUAAACGAUGAGUGCUAAGUGUUAGGGGGUUUCCGCCCCUUAGUGCUGCAGCUAACGCAUUAAGCACUCCGCCUGGGGAGUACGACCGCAAGGUUGAAACUCAAAGGAAUUGACGGGGACCCGCACAAGCGGUGGAGCAUGUGGUUUAAUUCGAAGCAACGCGAAGAACCUUACCAAAUCUUGACAUCCUUUGACAACUCUAGAGAUAGAGCUUUCCCCUUCGGGGGACAAAGUGACAGGUGGUGCAUGGUUGUCGUCAGCUCGUGUCGUGAGAUGUUGGGUUAAGUCCCGCAACGAGCGCAACCCUUAAGCUUAGUUGCCAUCAUUAAGCUGGGCACUCUAAGUUGACUGCCGGUGACAAACCGGAGGAAGGUGGGGAUGACGUCAAAUCAUCAUGCCCCUUAUGAUUUGGGCUACACACGUGCUACAAUGGACAAUACAAAGGGCAGCGAAACCGCGAGGUCAAGCAAAUCCCAUAAAGUUGUUCUCAGUUCGGAUUGUAGUCUGCAACUCGACUACAUGAAGCUGGAAUCGCUAGUAAUCGUAGAUCAGCAUGCUACGGUGAAUACGUUCCCGGGUCU
rnacentral:rRNA from 1 species